AUUGAACGCUGGCGGCAGGCUUAACACAUGCAAGUCGAGCGGGGGAAGGUAGCUUGCUACCGGACCUAGCGGCGGACGGGUGAGUAAUGCUUAGGAAUCUGCCUAUUAGUGGGGGACAACAUCUCGAAAGGGAUGCUAAUACCGCAUACGUCCUACGGGAGAAAGCAGGGGAUCUUCGGACCUUGCGCUAAUAGAUGAGCCUAAGUCGGGAUAGCUAGUUGGUGGGGUAAAGGCCUACCAAGGCGACGAUCUGUAGCGGGUCUGAGAGGAUGAUCCGCCACACUGGGACUGAGACAAGGGCCAGACUCCUACGGGAGGCAGCAGUGGGGAAUAUUGGACAAUGGGGGGAACCCUGAUCCAGCCAUGCCGCGUGUGUGAAGAAGGCCUUAUGGUUGUAAAGCACUUUAAGCGAGGAGGAGGCUACUCUAGUUAAUACCUAGGGAUAGUGGACGUUACUCGCAGAAUAAGCACCGGCUAACUCUGUGCCAGCCGCCGCCGUAA
rnacentral:rRNA from 1 species